AUCAUCUCUCACUGGCUCUCGCUGCGGGGCUUUGCGGGCCGGGUAAUCUGGCAGCCCUGAGGGAGCUAGUUCCAGACAAUCAAGAGGAAAAGAGGGGAAGCGAGAAAGGGACGGAGAUCGGCUAUGGUGGCCAACAAUCCUGCGAAGAGGGAACGGUGGUCCACGCAGGGAUUCAGUCUCCGAUCAAGCUCAGCAGGCGCCGGCCGGCCACGCCGAGUACGGGGCUUGCGGAGCCUGAGCUUACCUGGAACCCGCGAGCGCCGCGCGCAGCGCCGGCUCCAGCCAGUGCCUCUCUCUUCACACCUCCCCGCCAGCAGAGGGAGCCGGCUCCAGCCUCGGCCAGCCCCAGAGAGGGCCCCUCAUAGCGCAGCGGCGGGCUGAACGGCUCCUCAAGCGCGGCCAGAGCGGACGCCGAGGCUGAGGAGGCGCUGAGAGCCAGUAAGGGCUGCUGGCACGCUGUCACCUCUCACCGUGAGCAACAACUGCUGGUCCUGCCUUCAGGCUUUCCUUUGUCUUUCAGGUGGAGACGCGCUGACCUGCCCCAAUACCUAUUGUUGUUUGUUAAAUUACUCCAAGAUAGUUACAGUUAACGGCAAACACCCAUUUAUAAGCACAAAUCAUGUCAGAUGUUCAGGACCAGCACAAUCAAUCAAUCAAGUAAACAGCACCCUCCUUGAAUAUGUGGCAAGUGCGUGAGGAUUUCAUGAACCCGUCCUGCAUUUCCAAAUCCACCUGAGGCCUCUCCCUGGACACAGCCAAAGGCCCGACGGCCCAGCCCCCCCAGUGGCAGGUGGCCCUUCCAUGGCUGAGGUCACACACCCAGCAUCGCAUCCUGCUCUUCUCGGGGCCUCGGGCCCCUUCGGCUCAUCUCCAGGGAUUGCACUUGCUCCUGCUGCCCACAGAGGUUUCCUUCCUGUGAUUCCACUCGGAGGGGGCGCUUUUCUUUCCUGGCUUCAACCAUGACAGAGCUGCUUUGUGUUCGCCGGCAGCUGCCACGCUUCCUGAAAAGGCGGCUUCCGUUCUGCUGGAGAUAAACUGAUUUGCCUGGCAGCCAACUUAAACAAGGAGGCAAGAAAACAGCAUAGCCUGGGCUCCCCAAUACAUCUACGUGGAUUUGAUGGACACACAGCAGUUGGCAAAGGUUCUAAUCAUUGCUGUUUCCUACAGAGUGGAAAUGAGACGUUGCCAAGUUCCACACAACAAGGGUGGGCAUAGAUGUUGUUUGAAGUCGAAUCUCCAUCAGGCACACCCAUGACCUAGGACCUUUCCACUGUCUCCAGAAGUAGGAACAUUUCAGGAGCAUCAGGG